AUGAGGUGCAGGAGGGGGCAGUGGCAGCAGGGCAGCAAGGCCGACCAGGAGCAGCAAGGGCCAGCGAGGAGCAGCAAGGCAAGGGCCGGCGAGGAGCAGUACAAACGUGCAGGAGAGAGGAGUGGAGCACGAGUUCAAUCCUUCCUGUGUGUUAUGUUUGGGUCAAACAGGUACAAAGGCAUAAUAGUCCUCUGUUUUGUUCACUUAUCUUGUCUAUUAUUUAUAAAGUUUGUUUUUGUGUUGAUAAGUGGCAAAAUAUCAAAGUCCAAACAAAAGGGUGUCACUAGAUCAAUUAUAAAGUAA
rnacentral:rRNA from 1 species